UUCGUAGGUGAACCUGCGGAGGGAUCAUCA
rnacentral:rRNA from 1 species